rnacentral:rRNA from 1 species
AGUGCACACGGUGGAUGCCUUGGCGACAACAGGCGAAGAAGGACGUGGAAAUCUGCGAAAAGCCCCGGGAAGCUGAUAACAAGCAAUGAUCCGGGGAUCUCCGAAUGGGGCAACCCGACCUUAGGGUCAUCCGUAGUUGAAUACAUAGACUGCGGAAGCGAACCGGGAGAACUGAAACAUCUAAGUACCCCGAGGAAAAGAAAUCAACCGAGAUUCCGCAAGUAGCGGCGAGCGAACGCGGAGAAGCCCAAUUAAGUUGCGUAUGAGCUAGUAGAACAUUCUGGGAAGGAUGGCCACAGAGGGUGAUAGCCCCGUAUACGAAAGCCAUACACAAUGAAUCGAGUAGGGCGGGACACGUGAAAUCCUGUCUGAACAUGGGGGGACCAUCCUCCAAGGCUAAAUACUCGUUGUCGACCGAUAGUGAACCAGUACCGUGAGGGAAAGGCGAAAAGAACCCUGGUGAAGGGAGUGAAAUAGAACCUGAAACCGUGUGCAUACAAGCAGUCAGAGCAUAUAAAGAUAUGUGAUGGCGUACCUUUUGUAUAAUGGGUCAGCGAGUUACAUUCAGUGGCGAGGUUAACCGGAUAGGGGAGCCGUAGCGAAAGCGAGUCUUAAUAGGGCGGUAAGUCUCUGGGUGUAGACCCGAAACCGGGCGAUCUAUCCAUGGGCAGGUUGAAGGUUGAGUAACAUCAACUGGAGGACCGAACCCACGCAUGUUGAAAAAUGCGGGGAUGACCUGUGGAUAGGAGUGAAAGGCUAAACAAGCUCGGAGAUAGCUGGUUCUCCCCGAAAACUAUUGAGGUAGUGCCUUGUAGAUUGACUUACGGGGGUAGAGCACUGUUUCGGCUAGGGGGUCAUACCGACUUACCAACCCGAUGCAAACUCCGAAUACCGCAAAGUUUUACUACAGGAGACACACGGCGGGUGCUAACGUCCGUCGUGAAGAGGGAAACAACCCAGACCGCCAGCUAAGGUCCCGAAAUGACAGUUCAGUGGGAAACGAAGUGGGAAGGCUUAGACAGCUAGGAGGUUGGCUUAGAAGCAGCCAUCCUUUAAAGAAAGCGUAAUAGCUCACUAGUCGAGUCGUCCUGCGCGGAAGAUUUACCGGGGCUAAACUGUCUACCGAAGCUGCGGAUUUGCAUGAAAAUGCAAGUGGUAGGGGAGCGUUGUGUAAGCUGAUGAAGGUGUGUUGAGAAGCAUGCUGGAGGUAUCACAAGUGCGAAUGCUGACAUGAGUAACGAUAAUGCGGGUGAAAAACCCGCACACCGAAAACCCAAGGUUUCCUGCGCAACGCUAAUCGGCGCAGGGUGAGUCGGCCCCUAAGGCGAGGCGGAAACGCGUAGUCGAUGGGAAACAGGUUAAUAUUCCUGUACUGAUCAUAAUUGCGAUGGGGGGACGGAGAAAGCUAGGCCAGCACACUGUUGGAUGUGUGUUUAAACGCGUAGGUUGGGGACUUAGGCAAAUCCGGGUUUCUAAGACUGAAACGUGAUGACGAGUUUCUACGGAAACGAAGUGGUUGAUGCUCUGCUUCCAGGAAAAGCCUCUAAGCUUCAGAUUAUGACAACCGUACCCCAAACCGACACAGGUGGGUAGGAAGAGAAUUCCAAGGUGCUUGAGAGAACUCGGGUAAAGGAACUCGGCAAAAUGAUACCGUAACUUCGGGAUAAGGUAUGCCUCUGACGGUGUAUAGCUGUUGGGGGCCGCAGAGAAUAGGCCGCUGCGACUGUUUAUCAAAAACACAGCACUCUGCAAACACGAAAGUGGACGUAUAGGGUGUGACGCCUGCCCGGUGCCGGAAGGUUAAGUGAUGGGGUGCAAGCUCUUGAUCGAAGCCCCGGUAAACGGCGGCCGUAACUAUAACGGUCCUAAGGUAGCGAAAUUCCUUGUCGGGUAAGUUCCGACCUGCACGAAUGGCGUAACGAUGGCGGCGCUGUCUCUACCCGAGACUCAGUGAAGUUGAAAUCGCUGUGAAGAUGCAGUGUACCCGCGGCAAGACGGAAAGACCCCGUGAACCUUCACUACAGCUUGACACUGAACAUUGAAAUGAGUUGCAUAGGAUAGGUGGGAGGCUUAGAAGCAGAGACUCUGGUUUCUGUGGAGCCGACCUUGAAAUACCACCCUGCUUAUUUUGAUGUUCUAACGUAGACCCGUAAUCCGGGUUGCAGACAGUGUCUGGUGGGUAGUUUGACUGGGGCGGUCUCCUCCCAAAGAGUAACGGAGGAGUGCGAAGGUGGGCUCGGUGCGGUCGGAAAUCGCACCAAGAGUG